rnacentral:tRNA from 1 species
GUGGGUAUAGCGUAGUCGGUUAACGCGUCAGUUUGUGGCACUGAAGACCCUCGGUUCGAAUCCGAGUAUCCACCCCA